ACAGAGCCACAGAGCGACCUUGAACAGUUUGUUGAUGUUCUUUUGGUUUGCACUGGGAUGUAAAGGAAAAAAUCUCUGUACUUUCAGUCUUUGUGGUGGCCCAGAUUGAAUGGGAAAUAUCU